rnacentral:rRNA from 1 species
AAUCAACGCUGGCGGCGUGCCUAACACAUGCAAGUCGAACGAGAAAGGGGACUUCGGUCCCUGAGUACAGUGGCGCACGGGUGAGUAACACGUGACUUAUCUACCCUCGAGUGGGGAAUAACUUCGGGAAACCGAGGCUAAUACCGCAUAAUACCCACGGGUCAAAGGAGCAAUUCGCUUGAGGAGGAGGUCGCGGCCGAUUAGUUAGUUGGCGGGGUAAUGGCCCACCCAAGACGGUGAUCGGCAUCCGGCCUGAGAGGGCGCACGGACACACUGGAACUGAAACACGGUCCAGACUCCUACGGGAGGCAGCAGUGGGGAAUUUUGCGCAAUGGGGGAAACCCUGACGCAGCAACGCCGCGUGGAGGAUGAAGUCUCUUGGGACGUAAACUCCUUUCGAUCGGGACGAUUAUGACGGUACCGGAAGAAGAAGCCCCGGCUAACUUCGUG